rnacentral:lncRNA from 10 species
AGCGCGCCUUGCUCACCGUGGUCCCCGGCGGUGGCGGCGCGGGCGGGAGCCUCAGGGCGCGGGGGUCGGCGGCGGGUCGCGUGGGGGUCACCCGGCCGCUGCUGCGGUCCGGACGGCAGUUGGUCCAGUAGUUUCGGAUGCCCGGGCUAGGCUCGGCGGAGAGCGAGUCGGCGUGAAUGAGAGCAAACCAACAGGGCUGUGCGUGGCGCGUAAAGAAGUGUUGAAGAAGAGAGAGACAGAAGAAAAUCACCAUAAAAAGUCAGACACGAGAGCUUAGAAGUCAAUUAAGACAGGGCUUGGAAGGGGCAUUAGGUUUUUGGGGAACCGGUGUUACAUGAAGGUGCUGUUAACACUGGGAGUAGUGCUUUCUCUUAUUGAGAAAAAAAAAACACCUCUGUUUGCAUCUGUAGACAAAGAUCUGUUCAGAAUGGUUGGCUUUGUGAGAAACAUUCCACCUCUCAGGCUGUGAAGCUAAGACUUACUGCCAUUGAAAAUGAGAAGAAGAGACUAGUAGAGACAGCUGAGACCAAACACUUUAAUUGAGUCAACAGAAGGAUUCAAUUUAAACCUCCAACAAACAGAAUGGCUGUAAGACAAGUUGCAUUUGAUUGGCAAGAACCAAACACUUGAUGUGUCUGGAAUUGGUAGCUUCUUGGUCUCACUGACUUCAAAAAUGAAGCCACG